UUCUUARUGCUUGCACUAAGAUGAUUUUGGAUCCGACUGAGUGGCGAACUGGUGAGUAACACGUGGGUAACCUGSCCAGAAGAAGGGGAUAACACCUGGAAACAGAUGCUAAUACCGUAUAACAACAAGAACCACAUGGUUCUUGKUUGAAAGCUGGCCUUUGUGCUAGUGCUUCUGGAUGGACCCGCGGCGUAUUARCUAGUUGGUGAGAUAAUAGCUCACCAAGGSAAUGAUACGUAGCAGACCUGAGAGGGUAAUCUGCCACAAUGGGACUGARACACGGCCCAUACUCCUACGGGAGGCAGCAGUAGGG
rnacentral:rRNA from 2 species